rnacentral:rRNA from 1 species
CGUGUAGGCGGUUUCGUAUGUCUGGCGUGAAAGCCCCGGGCUCACCCUGGGAAGUGCGUUGGAAACUGCGAGACUAGAGUCCCGGAGAGGAAGGUGGAAUUCCAGGUGUAGCGGUGAAAUGCGUAGAUAUCUGGAAGAACACCGGCGGCGAAGGCGGCCUUCUGGACGGUGACUGACGCUGAGACGCGAAAGCGUGGGGAGCAAACA